rnacentral:tRNA from 2 species
GGGGCUGUAGCUCAAUGGAUAGAGCAGCGACCUUCUAAGUCGUUGGUUGUGAGUUCGAAUCUCGCCAGCCCCG